rnacentral:lncRNA from 1 species
UUUUGAGGUUAAACAUACUUCAUUAAGAAUAAGCUGUAACACAGCUAUUAAUGAUACAAGGUUCAGCAGACAUAGCUGCAGCAACAGAAAAAUCAGAAGAAAGAGGAACAACUCCUACCCAAGUUCUAUUACCCAUAAUCCUAGCCAGAGAUGCCAAAUUGUGAGCAUCAGAAUUUUGUGUUCUACUAACAAACAAAACACAUACAUUUGUCAACCUAUUCAUUAGCUUCCUACAAUCCUCAGCAAUUAAAUUAAUAGCNNNNNNNNNNNNNNNNNNNAUUUACCACAUUAGCAGCAUCAGAAUAAAUAGAAACAGAGUUGAUUCCUUGAUCAACGACGAGUUGGAGAGCCCAACGAACCCCUAGUGCUUCAGCCAUAAGCGGAUCAACAUAAAAGUCUUAUCUUUUGCAUGCACUUAGGACUGUUUCGCCA